rnacentral:rRNA from 1 species
GUCAAGAUAGUAAGGGCGCAUGGUGGAUGCCUUGGCACCAAGAGUCGAUGAAGGGCGUGAACGGCUGCGAUAAGCCACGGUUAGGCGCUGAAUAGCCUUUGACCCGUGGAUUCCCGAAUGGGGAAACCCAGCGCUGGUAAUGCGGCGUUAUCCCCGGUUGAACACAUAGACCGGGCGAAGACAAGCGGGGGAAGUGAAACAUCUCAGUACCCCGAGGAAAGAAAAUCAACAGAGACUCCCUGAGUAGUGGCGAGCGAAAGGGGAUCAGCCCAAACCCGGCAGAUGUAAGCAGACACGCGUUGUCUGCCGGGGGUUGUAGGGCGCCUGUUCCGAACCGUGUCUGGCUCGGCAGGAGUUACAAAAUCGUGUGGUAGUCGAAGCGCGUGGAACCGCGCACCAUAGAGGGCAAUCGUCCCGUAGACGAAACUGCACGAUCUCCUGUCAGGCGUUCCUGAGUAAGUCCGCACCCGUGAAACGCGGACUGAACCUGGGGGGACCACCCUCCAAGGCUAAGUACUCCUUGGUGACCGAUAGCGGACUAGUACCGUGAGGGAAAGGUGAAAAGUACCCCGGAAGGGGAGUGAAAUAGUACCUGAAACCGCGCGCCUACAAGCGGUGGGAGCAGACUAGAUCUGUGACCGCGUGCUUUUUGCAUAACGAGCCGGCGAGUUACUCGUCUGCGGCAAGGUUAAGCGAUGAGCGGAGCCGUAGCGAAAGCGAGUCCUAAUAGGGCGACAUAGUCGUAGGCGGUAUACCCGAAACUGAGCGAGCUACCCAUGGGCAGGCUGAAGCGGGGGUAAGACCUCGUGGAGGGCCGAACCGACCUAGGUUGAAAACUGGGCGGAUGACCUGUGGGUCGGAGUGAAAGGCUAAUCAAGCUCAGUGAUAUCUGGUUCUCUCCGAAAUAUAUUUAGGUAUAGCCUCGGAUAAAUUGCGUGUUGGCCGUAGAGCACUGUUUGGAUUAGGGGCCCUACCAGGUUACCGACUUCAGGCAAACUCCGAAGACCAAUCACGUUUACUCCGGGAGUCAGUUGCUGGGGGAUAAACUUCAGCGUCAAAAGGGAAACAGCCCAGACCGCCAGCUAAGGUCCCUAAGUGCUAGCUAAGUGGGAAACGAUGUUCGAGUGCAUAGACAACCAGGAGGUUGGCUUAGAGGCAGCCAUCCUUGAAAGAGUGCGUAACAGCUCACUGGUCAAGUGUUCGAGCGCGGACAAUGUAACGGGGCUCAAGCUAGUCACCGAAGCUGCGGGUGUGUGAGACCUUCGGGUCGAUCACGCGGUAGGAGAGCGUUCCCAUGCCAGUAAAGCGGCGGCGUAAGCCAGCCGUGGAGGCAUGGGAAGUGAGAAUGCCGGCAUAAGUAACGAAAGAGGGGUGAGAAUCCCCUCCACCGAUUGCCUAAGGAUUCCUGAGUAAAGUUCGUCUGCUCAGGGUUAGUCGGGACCUAAGGCGAGGCCGAAAGGCGUAGUCGAUGGCCAACAGGUUGAUAUUCCUGUACCACGUCGCUUCCGUUUGACCGAUGGGGGGACGAGGAAGGCUAGGGGAACCCAGGCGAUGGUUGUCCUGGGGUAAGCAUGUAGGGGUGGCCCAUGUUAAAUGCGGGGCCGCAUAACCUGAGGUGCGAUGCCAGCUGGCGUUAAGCCGGCGAGUCCCUGACGCCAUACCUCCAAGAAAAUCCUCUAGGGAGGAAGCGCGUGCCCGUACCAAAACCGACACAGGUAGGCAAGUAGAGAAUACUAAGGUGAUCGAGAUAACCCUCGUUAAGGAACUCGGCAAAAUCGCCCCGUAACUUCGGGAUAAGGGGCGCCCCAGUAGGGUGAAGCUCUUCGCGAGUGGAGCCCGAGAGGGCCGCAGUGAAUUGGCUGAAGCGACUGUUUACCAAAAACACAGGUCUCUGCUAAGUCGAAAGACGACGUAUAGGGGCUGACGCCUGCCCGGUGCCGGAAGGUUACGUGGAGUUGUCAGGACUUCGGUUCGAAGCAGCGAAGCUAAGCCCCGGUAAACGGCGGCCGUAACUAUAACGGUUAGUAAUAUGGCCGUUAUAAAAUUCAGCUAUAUGCUGGAACAUCCGAGUAUCCCGCACUACGAGUUCCGUCCUAAGUGGGCGGUACCGUAAUAACGUGACGGGUGCGGACAAUCAGCAGGAAAGACUGUGGAGCUUUAUUGCUCGACAGAAUCCUCAGAGGCCAUACGCUGAACGCGUCCGGUUGACCGGACGUGAAGAUAUGGUCCGACCUUCACGGCGACGUGGAGAGCUAGGCGGAACAAGAAACGACCUAGCCGUUCCGAUGCUUAGGAACGUAACAAAAGUGCCUAAGGUAGCGAAAUUCCUUGUCGGGUAAGCACCAACACUUGCCCCGCCAUCUCGCGAGAGAUGGUCGAGAACCGGCUCAUAUCGGGGAAACCCUCCCUGCCACAGUGGCAGCGGGCAAUCCCGAGGGAAGUCCUAGUGCCCCCCUAACGACUGAUCCGAAAGGAGAGGCGUGUCACGCUUCGGAGAGUCCGAAAAUCUAUGUGACAUGCAAUACGCCGGCCCUCAUCGCAAGACAAGGCGCCAAUGGAGUAGCAGUGCCGCUGGAUCCCUGGUACGUCACAGGUCUCGCGGAUGGUGAGGGAUGCUUCUGCAUCUCCUUUGCCAUCCGUGCGAAGCUGCGAACAGGCCUCGAGGUGAGGCCGUCGUUUUCGCUCUCGCUCAACGAGAAGGACCUAGGGCUGCUGGAGGAUCUGCAAGCGUUCUUCGGAUGCGGAUGGAUCCGCGAGUCAAAGGGAGACCGCACCUUCAAGUAUGAGGUGCGAUCGAUCGGAGAUCUCACGGGUGUCGUCGUGCCGCACUUCGAACGUUUCCCCUUGCGGGGAUACAAGGCGAGGAGCUGUGCAGGCUUCUCGCACGUAUGCCGGAUGGUCGAACAAGGAGACCAUCUGCAGCGCGUCGGUUUGCGAGAGAUCGUGGGUGUCGCCUACCAGACGAGUCUGGGAAAGCGGCGCCACUCGGAAGCCGCGCUCCUAAAGGUGCUUGAUGAGGUGAAGGGAUAGUCUGCGCUCUCGGAUAACGAGAGAAUACGUGAAGUUCCGACCUGCACGAAUGGCGUAACGACUUCAGCGCUGUCUCAACGAGGAGCUCGGUGAAAUUGCAGUCUCGGUGAAGAUGCCGAGUACCCGCGGCUAGACGGAAAGACCCCGUGAACCUUUACUACAACUUGGUAUUGGAGUUCGGUGCAUUUCGCUCAGGAUAGGUGGGAGGCUUUGAAGCAUCGGUUGCGGCCGGUGUGGAGCCAACCUUGAGAUACCACCCUUGGUGUAUUGGAUUUCUAACAGCGCGCCGUGAAUCCGGGCGCUGGACAGUUCCAGGCGGGUAGUUUGACUGGGGCGGUCGCCUCCCAAAAUGUAACGGAGGCGCACAAAGGUUCCCUCAUCACGGUUGGAAAUCGUGUGUAGAGCGUAAAGGUAUUAAGGGAGCUUGACUGCGAGACUGACAAGUCGAGCAGGUGCGAAAGCAGGUCUUAGUGAUCCGGCGGUAGCAAGUGGAAGUGCCGUCGCUCAACGGAUAAAAGGUACUCCGGGGAUAACAGGCUUAUCGGGCCCAAGAGUCCACAUCGACGGCCCGGUUUGGCACCUCGAUGUCGGCUCGUCGCAUCCUGGGGGUGGAGUUGCUCCCAAGGGUUGGGCUGUUCGCCCAUUAAAGCGGUACGCGAGCUGGGUUCAGAACGUCGUGAGACAGUUCGGUCCCUAUCUGCCGUGGGCGUUGGAGAGUUGAGAGGAUUUGUCCCUAGUACGAGAGGACCGGGAUGAACGCACCUCUGGUGUAUCUGUUGUCCUGCCAAGGGCAUAGCAGGCUAGCUACGUGUGGAUCGGAUAACCGCUGAAAGCAUCUAAGCGGGAAGCCGGCCUCAAGAUGAACUCUCCCAUCCCCUAGAGGGAGUAAGACCCCUGGUAGACCACCAGGUUGAUAGGCCAGAUCUGGAAGGACGGCAACGUCUGUAGGAGACUGGUACUAAUGGGUCGAGGGCUUGACGGAUUU